ensembl:lncRNA
UCGAGCUCCCUGCCAUCCAGGACCUUUAUACCAGGCGCUGUCAGGGGAAGACUCUAGAAAUUGUCAAUGACUCCAUCCACCCAAGUCAUAGACUGCCCUCUCUGCUACCGCACGGCAAGUGGAAUUGUUGCGCCAAGUCCUGAACAGCUUCUACCCCCAAGCCAUAAGACUGCUGAACAUUUAAUCAAAUGGCUACCCAGACUAUUUUCAUUGACCCCCUUUUACUCGAACUGACUCUCUUGCACCAGCUCUAUGCACACUCACUGGACUCUAGCCACACACUCACACAUACUACACUGACACUACAACACACACAUACACACACACAAACACACAAUCACACAGAGACACACUCACACUCUUUCACAGUUGUCACAUAUGCUGCUGCUACUCUAUUUAUUAUCUAUCCUGAUUGGUCACCAACCAGUCGAUCACGGUGGACUGGUCCUAGUCGAUCGCCAAACAUUUCUAUAGAAAGCCAAUGAUAAAGGCAUAAAGGCAUAUGUUGCGUUGUUGGUAUUAGGUGCACCGGGUAGGCAAAGUGUUCCCAUUUUCAACCAUUUUAAUUUGUCUGAAAUGGAAGAUCUGUGGCUAAUCAAGUGCAUCUACUGCGCUGGCCAAUCGGAUAGCUCAAAUCACUGUGCCUACCUACAGCUUCCACAACCCCGGCCACAGCAAAGUUUGAUACUAGCCUAUGUGAGAUUUCAUAACUUUUCAAACCUUGACCAGAGAGAGACUGUCAAAGAAUACAGCAAAGAGCUGCUGUUUUCCUCAUUUUUAUUCAGUACAGUCAACACUGUUUUUAGUCUUUCGCAAAACAUGAAACGCUCUUCUCUUUACUUCCACUCGUGCUGCAAUGAAUGAGUCGCCAAGUGUAUCGAUAGCCCUGCAUUUUUAUUAUUAUUAGCAGCUUGCCGUGUCUAUUUUAAUAUCGAGGAGUAUUUUCACAACAUGAAUUUGUGUCUGUGGCAGAUGUGGUGUGACUCGAGUUUUGUCAUCAGGUGUCACCUCUCUGGUCAGUCUCACCGGAGGAAAAGAAAGAGAGAGCAGGGACCUUCAGAGGCUCUGCUGCUCUCUCCCUCCCACUGCUGAGACUAAUGCCAUGUUCAAAAUAACUCAGAACUCGGACAUCUCCGACUUACGACUUCAUCUCCCACUCCCUGCCACUGAAAAACAUCCCCACAGCAUGAUGCUGCCACCACCAUGCUUCACCGCAGGGAUGGUAUUGGUCUGGUGAUGAGCGGUGCCUGGUUUCCUUCAGACGUGAUGCUUGGCAUUCAGACCAAAGAGAUCAAUCUUGGUUUCAUCAGACCAGAGAAUCUUGUUUCUCAUGGUCUGAGAGUCCUUUAGGUGCCAUUUGGCAAAGUCCAAGCGGGCUGUCAUGUGCCUGUUACUGAAGAGUGGCUUCCAUCUGGCCACUCUACCAUAAAGGCCUGAUUGGUGGAGUGCUGCAGAGAUGGUUGUCCUUCUGGAAGUUUCUCCCAUCUCCCCAGAGGAACUCUGGCGCUCUGUCAUAGUGGCCAUCGGGUUCUUGGGCACCUCCCUGACCAAGGCCCUUCUCCCCCAAUUGCUGAGUUUGGCCGGGCGGCCAUCUCUAGGGAGAGUUUUGGUGGUUCCAAACUUCUUGCAUUUAAGAAAGAUGAAGGCUACUGUUUUCUUGGGGACUUUCAAUGCUGCAAAAAUGUUUUGGUAAUGUUCCUCAGAUCUGUGCCUCGACACAAUCCUGUCUUGGUGCUCUACGGACAAUUCCUUCAACCUAAUGUCUUGGUUUUUGCUAUGAAAUGCACUGUCAAUUGUGGGACCUUAUAUAGAUGUGUGUGCCUUUCCAAAUCAUGUCCAAUCAUUUGAAUUUACCACAGGUGGACUCCAAUCAAGUUGUAGAAACAUCUCAAGGAUAAUCAAUGGAAACAGGAUGCACCUGAGCUCAAUUUCGAGUCUCUUAGCAAAGGGUCUGGAUACCUAUGAAAAGACUGUAUUUUCUG